rnacentral:rRNA from 1 species
AUGUAAGAAUUUAAAGGUCGAACAGACUUAUUACUUAAGCGGCUACACCUAAAUAUUAUCUUAAUCCAACAUCGAGGUCGCAAGCCCUCCCGUAAAUAUGAACUCUGGAAGAGGAUUACGCUGUUAUCCCUAAGGUAACUUAAUCUAACAAUCAAUAAUAAUGGAUCUCAUAUUCAUAAAUCAAUGUAAUUAAAAUAAAAAAGUUAAUUAUAUAUUUUUGUCACCCCAACAAAAUAUUUACCUAAAAUAAUAAUAAAUAAUAUAAUACAAAUAAUCAAAUAAAUAUAAAGCUCUAUAGGGUCUUCUCGUCUACCAAUAAAAUUUUAGCCUUUUGACUAAAAAGUUAAAUUUUAAAUCCAAAAAAAAUGAGACAGUUAAUUCCUCGUCAAACCCUUCAUUCCAGCCUCCUUUUAAAAGACUAAUGAUUAUGCUACCUUUGCACGGUCAGAGUACCGCGGCCGUUAAAUAUUCACUGGGCAGGUCAAACCUCUUAUUAAUAAAUCAAGAGGCCAUGUUUUUGAUAAACAGGCGAGAAUUAUUUUUGCCGAAUUCCUUAUUUCAUCCUCUCAUUUAAAUUAUUAUAAACAGCUUAAAUAUACUAAUUUAAUCAUUAUUUCACAGAAUAAAAAAUUUAUUCUAUCUUCUUAAUAAAAUACUAAAUACCAAAAAAUCAUAUUAAUUACAAUUUAAAUUAUAACACACUUUAUAAUGAUGGAUAAUUAUAACCCUACAAAAAAUGAAAUAAUCAAUAAUUAUAGAAAUAAUAUAGAGCUUAUCCCCUAUAAUAUUUAACUUUAAAUAUAAAAGCCUAAAAAAUAAGACAUUUAAAUAUAAAGAAUAAAUUGAAUUUAUUUAUUAAAAAACCAGAUACCUUUAAAAACGAAUUAGAUAUCCCAUCUAUGAUGUAUUAUCAAUAAUUAUUCCACAUUAAAUAAAUUACUAACAUAGCUCUUUUGAAAUCGAGA